GACGAACGCUGGCGGCGUGCUUAACACAUGCAAGUCGAACGAAGUAGCGAACGGGUGAGUAACGCGUAAUCAAACUGCCCUUCAGAGGGGGACAACAGUUGGAAACCACUGCUAAUACCGCAUACUGAAGGAGGGGAUUGCGUCUGAAUAGCGAGUUGGAGGGGUAACGCCCCACAAAGACGAUGAUCAGUAGCAGGUCUGAGAGGAGGAACGGCUACAUUGGGACUGAGACACUGCCCAGACUCCUACGGGAGGCAGCAGUGGGGAAUCUUCCGCAAUGGACGAAAGUCUGACGGAGCAACGCCGCGUGAUUUAUGACGGCCUUCGGGUUGUAAAGCUCUGUGAAUCGGGACGCGGUACCGGAAUAGAAAGCCACGGCUAACUACGUGCCAGCAGCCGCGGUAAUAC
rnacentral:rRNA from 1 species